UACGGAGGGAGCUAGCGUUGUUCGGAAUUACUGGGCGUAAAGCGCACGUAGGCGGCUUUGUAAGUUAGAGGUGAAAGCCCGGGGCUCAACUCCGGAACUGCCUUUAAAACUGCAUCGCUUGAAUCCAGGAGAGGUGAGUGGAAUUCCGAGUGUAGAGGUGAAAUUCGUAGAUAUUCGGAAGAACACCAGUGGCGAAGGCGGCACACUGGACUGGUAUUGACGCUGAGGUGCGAAAGCGUGGGGAGCAAACAGG
rnacentral:rRNA from 1 species